GUGAGGAAUUUUCCGCAAUGGGCGAAAGCCUGACGGAGCAAUGCCGCGUGAAGGAUGAAGGCCUAUGGGUUGUAAACUUCUUUUCUUAGAGAAGGAUAUUGACGGUAUCUGAGGAAUAAGCAUCGGCUAACUCUGUGCCAGCAGCCGCGGUAAGACAGAGGAUGCAAGCGUUAUCCGGAAUGAUUGGGCGUAAAGCGUCUGUAGGUGGCUUCAAAAGUCUCCUGUCAAAGAUCAGGGCUUAACCCUGGGCCGGCAGGAGAAACUCUGAUGCUAGAGUUUGGUAGGGGCAGAGGGAAUUCCCGGUGGAGCGGUGAAAUGCGUAGAGAUCGGGAGGAACACCAAAGGCGAAAGCACUCUGCUGGGCCACAACUGACACUGAGAGACGAAAGCGAGGGGAGCAAAAGGGAUUAGAUACCCGUGUAGUCC
rnacentral:rRNA from 1 species